AAAGGAACAGAAUCACAACUUACUGCUCCCCUCAGGUAAGAGGGAUGCAUGGAAAUAACACAGAGCUUCCUCUCAAAGCUGCACGGCAAUAAUGUUUCUUUCCUUUGUCCUCCAUGAAGAGAGAAACGAACUAGACCAGAAGUUGCAUGCAAUCAAGUUUAGUCAACUUCGUGACUCCAUUCGCAAGUGUGGGGCUGGAGAAGUGGCAGCCAUUAAGUGUAAGCAGACUAUCCAUUAAAACCGUGAUUCUGUGUGGAGCUUCACAGAGAGCCAAUGGAUGGCCAGUAUGGGACAAAAGAGGCUUGCAAGUCUAUGAUAAAUUGAA